rnacentral:rRNA from 1 species
AUGUCCCAUCCAUCCCCACGCCGCCGCCAAAUCCCCAUCGGGAUCCUCCCAGAUCCACCUCCCUCCUCAUUUUCCUCUCCUACCCAUUCCCACCGUAGCCAACCACCAUCGCCUCCGUUUUCGUGCCCGACCAAUCCCGCGGCCUCUUCUCCCCUCGAUCCCAAAUGGGUCGUGAAGCUGUCCGAGUCCCUCAGCAGGAGAGAAGCUCCUCGUCGCCUUGGAGCCCGAGAGCGCCACCACCUGCAGGCCAACCCUGUGGCCGCUCCUCCCCUGCUCCAUUCCUUCUCCUUCCCUGCCUCUACUCCCUCCUCUCACAUCUCUCUUUCUCUCACAGGGACCGCAUUAUCGUCACCCGGCCGCACCCGAGGAUCUUCUCGCCGGACCAGCAGGACCAACACCGCCGCGCCGCCCCUCCGCGACGAGCUCCGCCGCCCAAGCUGCAUCGUCGCCUGUCGCAGACCCUGUCGCCGUCAUCUUCAACUGUUCCUGACGAGGACGGUGCCCUCCUAUCCGUCUCGAGCACCAAUCCCUCGCUCCGCCUUGGAUCCAGCAAGACCCCCCCUUGCCUUUGCCGUCUCCCGCAAGUUCCAGGGUGCCGCUGCUCUGCCUCGUCGUCGCCGGAGUCGUGCCAAGUUCCCAUGCUCGCGCUCAGUCUCGUCUCCGGCCAGGACCAUCCGUCCCAUCGUCCUCUGCCCGUGUCUCCGGCCUUGUCCCCGCCUCCAGGGGUCCGCACUGCGCCACCGGAGACCAGCUGUGCCGCUCGCCCCUAAACCUGUCGUUUUCAUCUUCUGCAUCAAGCCGGAGCGCUCUUCUCGCUCAUCCGCUCCGAUCGGGUUGCCAGCCAGCUCCGUUGACUGUGCUCGCGUGGACCAGGCUUCAACCGCCUCCAAGCCCAGCACCACCAAGGUCGGCCUACCUAUCCACCAUUUGGGCCUAGGCCCAUGGUGA